rnacentral:rRNA from 1 species
GAUGUCCGAAUGGGGAAACCCAGUGCAAUCCGUUGCACUAUCGUUAAGUGAAUACAUAGCUUAACGAGGCGAACCAGGGGAACUGAAACAUCUAAGUACCCUGAGGAAAAGAAAUCAACCGAGAUUCCCCUAGUAGCGGCGAGCGAACGGGGAAGAGCCCAGAACCUGAAUCAGUUUGUGCAUUAGUGGAAGCGUCUGGAAAGUCGCGCGAUACCGGGUGAUAGCCCCGUACACGAAGGUGCACAGCUGUGAGUUCGAUGAGUAGGGCGGGACACGUGUUAUCCUGUCUGAAUAUGGGGGGACCAUCCUCCAAGGCUAAAUACUCCUGACUGACCGAUAGUGAACCAGUACCGUGAGGGAAAGGCGAAAAGAACCCCGGCGAGGGGAGUGAAAUAGAACCUGAAACCGUGUACGUACAAGCAGUGGGAGCAUCCUUCGGGGUGUGACUGCGUACCUUUUGUAUAAUGGGUCAGCGACUUAUAUUUUGUAGCAAGGUUAACCGAAUAGGGGAGCCGUAGGGAAACCGAGUCUUAACUGGGCGUCUAGUUGCAAGGUAUAGACCCGAAACCCGGUGAUCUAGCCAUGGGCAGGUUGAAGGUUGGGUAACACUAACUGGAGGACCGAACCGACUAAUGUUGAAAAAUUAGCGGAUGACUUGUGGCUGGGGGUGAAAGGCCAAUCAAACCGGGAGAUAGCUGGUUCUCCCCGAAAGCUAUUUAGGUAGCGCCUCGUGAACUCAUCUUCGGGGGUAGAGCACUGUUUCGGCUAGGGGGUCAUCCCGACUUACCAACCCGAUGCAAACUACGAAUACCGAAGAAUGUUAUCACGGGAGACACACGGCGGGUGCUAACGUCCGUCGUGAAGAGGGAAACAACCCAGACCGCCAGCUAAGGUCCCAAAGUCAUGGUUAAGUGGGAAACGAUGUGGGAAGGCAUAGACAGCCAGGAUGUUGGCUUAGAAGCAGCCAUCAUUUAAAGAAAGCGUAAUAGCUCACUGGUCGAGUCGGCCUGCGCGGAAGAUGUAACGGGGCUAAACCAUGCACCGAAGCUGCGGCAGCGACACUAAGUGUUGUUGGGUAGGGGAGCGUUCUGUAAGCCUGUGAAGGUGGCCUGUGAGGGCUGCUGGAGGUAUCAGAAGUGCGAAUGCUGACAUAAGUAACGAUAAAGCGGGUGAAAAGCCCGCUCGCCGGAAGACCAAGGGUUCCUGUCCAACGUUAAUCGGGGCAGGGUAAGUCGACCCCUAAGGCGAGGCCGAAAGGCGUAGUCGAUGGGAAACAGGUUAAUAUUCCUGUACUUGGUGUUAUUGCGAAGGGGGGACGGAGAAGGCUAGACCGGCCGGGCGACGGUUGUCCCGGUUUAAGCGUGUAGGUGUGAUGACCUGGCAAAUCCGGUUAUCUCUAACACUGAGGCGUGAUGACGAGGCACUACGGUGCUGAAGUGGUUAAUGCCCUGCUUCCAGGAAAAGCCUCUAAGCUCUAGAUAACACUGAAUCGUACCCCAAACCGACACAGGUGGUCAGGUAGAGAAUACCAAGGCGCUUGAGAGAACUCGGGUGAAGGAACUAGGCAAAAUGGUGCCGUAACUUCGGGAGAAGGCACGCUGGCAUGUAGGUGAAGUCCCUCGCGGAUGGAGCCGAAGCCAGUCGAAGAUACCAGCUGGCUGCAACUGUUUAAUAAAAACACAGCACUCUGCAAACACGAAAGUGGACGUAUAGGGUGUGACGCCUGCCCGGUGCUGGAAGGUUAAUUGAUGGGGUCAGCCGCAAGGCGAAGCUCUUGAUCGAAGCCCCAGUAAACGGCGGCCGUAACUAUAACGGUCCUAAGGUAGCGAAAUUCCUUGUCGGGUAAGUUCCGACCUGCACGAAUGGCGUAAUGAUGGCCAGGCUGUCUCCACCCGAGACUCAGUGAAAUUGAACUCGCUGUGAAGAUGCAGUGUACCCGCGGCAAGACGGAAAGACCCCGUGAACCUUUACUAUAGCUUGACACUGAACAUUGAACCUUGAUGUGUAGGAUAGGUGGGAGGCUUUGAAGUGUGGACGCCAGUCUGCAUGGAGCCGACCUUGAAAUACCACCCUUUAAUGUUUGAUGUUCUAACCUGGUCCCGUAAUCCGGGAUAGGGACAGUGUCUGGUGGGUAGUUUGACUGGGGCGGUCUCCUCCCAAAGAGUAACGGAGGAGCACGAAGGUUAGCUAAUCCUGGUCGGACAUCAGGAGGUUAGUGCAAAGGCAUAAGCUAGCUUG